CUUCAUUAACUUCGUAGCCUCUAUCGCGAAGCAUCUCAAAAGCUGUCGUGCGAGCCAAGUAAAACCUCUUGCUUUCGAUUCCUCCGGUGUCCUCAGUCUUCGAAAUACAGUUGGUACCGUCGUCAAACGUCGACUCAACAUUUUCACAGCACCCUUCUUCGGCCAUUGUCUCCUCCAUUUUUCUCCUCUGUCAAUUUCAGAGUUUUGCUGUUGGAAGAGAG